rnacentral:rRNA from 1 species
GAGUUUGAUCGUGGCUCAGGAUGAACGCUGGCGGCGUGCCUAACACAUGCAAGUCGAGCGGUAUAUAUUGGAUUGAAACUUCGGUUGAAUGAAGAUAUAGAGAGCGGCGGACGGGUGAGUAACGCGUAGGCAACCUGCCCCAUACAGAGGGAUAGCCUCGGGAAACCGGGAUUAAAACCUCAUAACGCGAGAGUAUCACAUGGUGCUUUCGCCAAAGAUUUAUCGGUAUGGGAUGGGCCUGCGUCUGAUUAGCUAGUUGGUGGGGUAACGGCCUACCAAGGCAACGAUCAGUAGCCGACCUGAGAGGGUAAUCGGCCACAUUGGAACUGAGACACGGUCCAAACUCCUACGGGAGGCAGCAGUGGGGAAUAUUGCACAAUGGGCGAAAGCCUGAUGCAGCAACGCCGCGUGAGCGAUGAAGGCCUUUGGGUCGUAAAGCUCUGUCCUUGGGGAAGAAAAAAUAGACGGUACCCUUGGAGGAAGCCCCGGCUAACUACGUGCCAGCCGCCGCCGUAAC